rnacentral:lncRNA from 1 species
GCUGCGCACUUCGGUCUUUUACGUCGGCCUUCGCGAGCGUCUGGGCGGGUGGUAGGUGAGUGGGUAUUGCGGGCUAGUAUCCGAGCAAAAGAUGGUGGCGCAGGCCGAGUUAAGAGCUUUAAUCCUGUGAAGACAUCUUAGUGAAGAGUUUAGAGUGCUGAGAGUUGAAAGCUUGCACGUGGGAAACGUGCGGCCGGACUGCCACAUGUACUGAGGUUGAGUCGUGACGGCCACAGGCUCCGAGUUUUGGCGUGAGGAACCGCUGAUCGGCCACGGGCGCCGAACUUGCUGGCCUCCGGCAUGUGCCUGAGCGGCGGCGGAAAAACCACCUUAAUUGGGGCGGAGGGUUAGUUUUAACAGCAAAGGGCCUUUACUAAAAUGGCGAAGGCCUUCCGUCGGCGUUGUUUUAAAAUGGGAAGCCUCGACCCUGUAUUGAAACUGAGCUGUUCGAAGGCGGCGUUGUGUGCAAUUCGGAUUAAUGAAGGGGAAGGGUUUUGUGUGGAAAAACGCCUUGGAGUGUGACAUUUCUGCGAGAAUGCUUAAAUACCGAUUUCCCGCAGGAACAAUGGCGCUGUCUUCAGUGGCACAGUGGAGCAGCUCUGAAGAUGCAAAGAUACACGAAAAAACUUCCAGAACAUCUGGGAGAAUAUUUAAUGGAAAAUCGCUUGGUUAAAACCUGACACUUUUAACAGUGAGGGUCGCUGUCUGCCCAUUGAUAGAGGCCAGAUUGUCUUGGAAGUUCCAAAGUUGCAACGAUUUCUGGCUAGUGCCACGAGGUUUACUUGACUGUUGUGUGAAAAGCUGAUAAGAAAACCAUCCAGAAAAAAGCUCUUCGUUUUACAAACAUGAAAAUAAAACAUUUAGUUGAAUCCAUGGACAUGAAACCCACAGAUAUAGAGGGUUGGCCCGGUGCAGUGGCUCACGCCUGUAAUCCCAGCACUUUGGGAGGCCAAGGCGGGUGGAUCACCUGAGGUCAGAAGCUUGAGACCAGCCUGGCCAACAUGGGUACUGCUUUCUCUUGCUGCAGCUUGCUUCCUCCCUCAGGUAACAUGAAGGAGGAUAUUGAAUGUUCCUAACACAAAGAAAUGAUAAAUGUUUGAGAUGGUGGAUGUACUAAUUGCCCUGAUCUGAUGACUAUACAUUAUAUAUAUUGAAACAUCAGUAUGUACCCCAUGAAUAUGUACAAUUAUAUGUCAACUUAAACACAUUUAAAAGUAAAAAAAAAAAAAUCCAAAA